AGCAGCUGUCUAACUCUCAGGUACCAAUUUACUGCUAGGUGAACAGGGGCACCAGGGUGAAAGAAACUCUGCCUAUUUGUUUCCACCUCCACCGGGGAUUGAACCCGGAACCUCAGGACUGCGAAUCUGAAGUGCUGUCAGGCAUCAAGUGAUGCCAGAUUCAUCAGCUUUUAUAACCUGUACUUUCUACUCAAAAUUUAUCACAACUUGUUUUAUCUCCAGUUAGCUGGAAGACCUUACUGACACAUUAUCAAAAUGUUCUGAUGAUGUGGUGGUAGGAUGUUUUGUAUUUUUUGUGAAAUACAGUGAGAGGGUGAGAGGCAGGGGAAGCUCUUCAAUGACUGCAGGGGGUACAAAAACAACAGGGUCUGUACAGAUAACAGGUUCAGAGGUGUUGUUGCAGCACUCUUGGUGAUUGGUUGCCAAACAACAUAGGCCUCUCAUCUCAGGCAGGGGACGGAAAAAACACGGCGGUCAGAUCCAUAAUCACAGAGUUGGACUGAUUGUAAUGUACAUGCAGAUCAAACAGCAUGAAUGGUGAGUAUACUCUAUUUAUUCUUGUUAUACAUCAUAGUAUAUAUUAAUUGACAUUAAUUUAUAAACACAGAAAUUAAUUAACAUUAAUUUCCAGUAUUCAGUAUUCUAAUAUUGACCCCAAUCAUAUAUAAACUGUUGUAUGCAAAUAAAAUUAAAAUUUGAAUACUUUUCUUUUAUAAGAGAUAGAAUCGUAUAUGAAAAGAGUGGGUAAAAUGACACCAAAAUUCUCCUCUCCUGAAUAGGGCUGUUCUAGCAUGUUCACAAGUUGUGUUUACAUGCUGAUUUUGCUGCUGUCAGCCACAUGUGGCCAACAAGUAUACAUACAUGUCGUUACAUUACAGCACUUACACUUAUUAUUAUACUGUACACUGUACAUCAAUUAUUGUAUAUUUUCAACAAAAUAUGUUCUGUAAUUUAAGGAAUAAUGUAUUAGUACUGUACUAUAUAUAUUUACAACAAAAAUUAUAAUUAUUUGCGUACAGGGCCUUUACAAUUACUGUGUAUUUUUUCUGUGCUGGCUUCCUCGGUAGCUUGCCAGAGUUUAUGGCACUGGUGUCCCAGCCUACCAGGACCAGGCUCUGUUUCCCCUUGAAGAGGCAAGGGAUGCAUGUGGGGCAAUCAAGGCUCAAUCCACUGCUUUAUGAGGAAAUAACACAAUAUAAAAAAAAAAAACAAGGCUAACAAUAGUUGGCAAUGGGUAAACAAUGUUUGCCCUGACACGUUUAGUAACUUGUCAGGUUGCAGCCCAGGUCCUGAGACACAUGAGUGGCAACCCUCCAUAAAUGCCAUAUGCAAUUUACAAUCAUUAUCCUAUGCUUUCUCCAUUACAAAAUGUAUUAAUGCAGGUACAUGAUCAAUGUAAUAUCUUCUGCUUCAGCACACACCUUUGUUCAUCACUUACUAAUUUCUCAGUAAUUCUCUUGCCUUUUAAUUAUUCAACUUUAUAUUUAUAUUGGGUACAAUCACAGAUUUUAUUUCAAUUGGCACCAGUUUCCCAUGCUGUAUGGUAAAUUUUCCACAAUCAUUCUUUUCCCUUUUAUCAGAUGCCUAUAUUCAGCAACACAUACCUCAUCAAUACCUGCAGCAUUUCAACAUAUCACCUAAUGCACUGGUACUAGUAUGUCUUCCACAGAUACAGUUUUAAUGUUCUGUACUGCACUCUUUUUACUCUAAACAAAUUAAUCUUAUUCACAGGUCACUGAGUCAGGUCUUCUUGACCUGGAGUCGCUUUCUGAUAACUACUUCUAAUACUGUAUAUUCUUCACAGAGUAGCAUUUUCAAACUUUUUCUAAAAAUAUCUUCUCGUUUUCUGAAAAAGAGAUUAAUUCUUUCCUGGAGGUGCUGAAUGGUGGAUCCCUGUUGCUAACUGCACUGAGAUAGCUCCAUGUCUAGAAGUCACAUCAACACCCCGCAUAUCAUUAAAAGCCUACCAGGAAUCAGAGGCCAAAACCUGGACCUGUCAAAGAGGCUCAGAGAGCUGUGGAUUCAUAAUCACCCUCACCAAAGAAUCAAACCCCCAGAAAGUGAAGCAUAACAGACAACUGCAAGGUUUACAAAGUAAACAAAGACUGCAACAAAUGACUUGGCAGACGAACCACUUAGUAGUUGGGUCAUACACUUUUUCCCUAGGGGCAACCGACCAGCACCAGGUGGCAGCACCAUGGGAGCUGCUGUCUUUCCUUCAACAACCACAGUCAUUUGCCUGAUGUCAGACUUGUCUGACUGCUCUUCAGGUCCUGGAAUAAAAUAGAUAAGCACUUCUUCCAGCACUGUGUUCUACCACAUACUGUAACACUGUCCUUCAAUGUCAUUUUCACAUGUUCUAAGACUACCAUUAUAUCCAUACAUUUCUCAACACUCCACUAAGGAGGUUGCUGGUAAAAGUAACCCCUUUAUUGUCAGUCACUUGUGUGAAUAGCAAGACACGCAGAUAAAUCUCACUCUCACUACUCAGAGACCGCCUCACACUGGCAUGUCACCAGGUUACUUCUACACUCAAUAAUGAAGCAGAUUUAUUGUGUCUGUUGAUCGACCAGGGAAGAGUCCAGCUGAAACCAGACCAUUCACCAUCUCUCCCUCUCAGAUUCAAUAAGGAAGAGUGAGUAACUAGUAAACUCAGAGCCCCACAAUGCUUAGGGCUGUUCGAAGCAACCAGUGUUGCCAAUUCAAGGUGAUGACUUUGGCCAACAACACUUAUUGUUCUGGUCAGUCAUAACAGGUCAUCAGCACCCAAUCCAGAGCUACAUGGAACAUAUUGACACUUUGUUAAAUUGUCCAUAAUAUUGAUUCUGUAACUUUUCGGAUCAUUGUAAAACUACCUUAAAAUUCUUCAUUCUCAGUUUUAUCACAUGGAGGAUAUACAAUCUUCAAUACCACUUAACCCUUUCAAACUUGAAUAUCAAACAUAAGCACUUUGAAUUGUUUCCAUACUAUUAUUCAUCAACACUAAACAACUGAUUUUUGUUGUGCAUUUAUAUUCUUUUACUUAUUCCAUUCUUCAUCUUCAUUUUCUUAAAUCUUUGGAUCACAAAAACAAAGACACUCAAAGAUUUCCUCUUUGAAACCAUUCAUCACUUCCAUCUUUUCCUUUUCUUAACAUAUUCCCCUCACAUUUUACAUGAUUUAGUUCUUUAUUCCUCCCAGAUUGCUAUAUGAUAACUACUUCAUGAACUAAAGUACAGGCAUCAUAGGACAGUCUGAAGCAUUGAGGUCUCUCACAGUUGCCUGCAUUCAUUUACUUUACCAUAGGUGCUACUACAAGCAAGAUGUCAGAUCUUCGACUCCUGUUUGGCAAAUUUCACAUUCAAUUUGCCAAGAUUCUUGGAAGGGAAGUGACAAACAGCUAGAUGGAACUCAACACCGUAUGAAAGGAUGAUUAAGAGGCAAAGAGUCACAAUAACGUGGUUGACGAUAUGAUGACCAAACCACACACCAGAAGAUGAAGAAACGAUGACAUUUCGGUCUGUCCAGGACCAUUAUCAAGUCAUAUGUAAACACAUUUGUAUGCUAGAGAUACAAGUGUGCAAAUUGAAUGCUAUUUGUGAGAAAAGCUUUAGAAAUGUACAUUUUUUCAUGACCAAUUGAGCAUCAACCUGAAUUAGUUAGGUGUGUUAGUGUAGGAUCAUUGUGAUAAUUUACCAAAUAUUAAUUUGAUCUUGGAAUAAUGAUUAUAGCUUGUGAAUUUUUGUCAAAUUAGACAUUUUCCAUGCAUGUCUUGCAUUUAGGAACCAUGGGUUAAUAUAGAAUAUAAAGGGUUGCUUAGAUUUUUAUUUGGAAGUGUAAUUGUACAGUAAUUGUAAUUCGUUUCUUAAUAUAAAUCUCUCUUGCUGCCAAGCACAACACAACCUAUUUCUCAGACUACCUAUGCUUCAAACAUGGAGGUACAAGCAUUAUUUUACAUGUAGGAGUAGACAUCAUCAGGCAAUGUUAAUAAACCCUCAUUUUAUAAUGAAGCAUAUUAAAAAAUGAAAAUAAAGUGAAAGGUAAUGCAGAGACCUUCACAUGAAAGUAUUUUAUAUAAUAAUUGAUACACAUUAAAAAAAACAAGUCUCUCACUGGAAUGAAAGAUGCCAUUCUUUAAUCUCUAGCACUUAGUACAGUAUUGUAUUUUGUAUUGAAUAUAAACUGUGUAUAUACUGUAUAUAUAUAUAUUCAAUUAUUCACUGAAUCAUCCGUGAACUAGGUGGGGUUUGAGUAUACACGUGCAGGGAUGUUGUACGUGCUGCUCUAGCCAUUGGACAAUGAACUCUCAUAAGCAAGAUUGACUGCAGGAUAGAGGACACAACCCAGUCUACACCUUGCUGAGAUGCCACGAUGGUAAACAGUCACUGUCAACCCCUUCAUGCCCUCAUCACACAGUGAAGGCACUAGCCAACAGGACGGGUGUGUGGUCUGUGGAUAGGGUUGCUUAAUGCCACCUAAUGACUUUCAUGUAGUGUGGAGAGGGAAAUGAAGUAUAAAAUUAAUGUGCCAUAUGUAAAAUAUGAAUUUGGUAAAGUAUUCCACAGAAUGAGACUCGUUUGAAAAAAAUGUAAAACAAAGUGAGAAUUACAAAGCUCUGAAGAACUCUUCCUUCAAAUAUAAUGUACAAGAAAAAACCCUGGGAUAGAAAGAUAACAGGUAAUAUCCAAAAUGAUUAGGAUAAGGGAGAAAAAAAAGGAUUAAAGGGAGGAAUUUGAGACACAGGAGUAAGAAACAAAUGAGGAGACAAGUGAAAAAAAGGGAGUGAAGGAAAGUGGAGACAAGGGAAGGGGGAGGAGACCUGAAAAAAAGGAGGGAUAUGGACACUAGGGCAAGGUGUUGAAAAGACAGAACAAAUGGAAAAGGAAAUAACUUACAAGCACAUUUUGACACCUAUCACAAUCCUGACCUUUAGUGAUACACAGAACAAAGCCUUGCUACUACCUGUUUUCUGAAUCAUCUUAAGGUACAUAGAACACAAGACAGCGGGGACCAGUGUACUAUUAUGGUGUGGAGAGACUCAAGGGAAGUAGGAGAGGACCUUGAUACAAUAAAGAGAUGAAUGAGAAGUUAAAUUUAACCCUUGGUAGCCAUGAAGAAUCUGGCGCGACGUUGAUAUGCAGAGAAAUCUACUGGAUUCAACAUCGGCCUGCAAGAAUAAACAAAAUUUUCUGUACAAAUGACAUUCAUAAUUAGUACAGUAUUUCUUUUAAACUAAGCCUCAUGAAUGGCAAAGUACCCUAUUGUACUCAGUAACACAGUUAAAGGAAGGAGAAAGUACCCCUGCUUAGUAUAGUAUACAGGUCCCAGGGCCUGGAAUAAAAGUGCAUUUACAAGUGAUUUUAUUAUAUUCUCUGGAUGAUGCCUGUUAUUCACUGAAAAAUAAAAUAACUUCAUUCAAAUAGCAAUUGUGUGUUAAUAAAAAUUCGAAAUUAAAAUCACAAAAUACAGCCUUGUUAAAGCUAUAUUAUUUUUGCAUUGCAGCUUCACUUAUGAUUUUCUAAAUUAACUUUACCUCCAAUUUAAUUUUGUCACUACAGUACAUUUCAUUUAUUAUAGUUUUAUUCUAUUAUAAUUAUUAUUUUUGCCAGUCCUUUUACAAUUUGAAAUAAUGUUUCGACCAACACGGCAAUAAGAAUAAUGUAUGUUCAUUAGUUUUAAGAACUAGCAUAUGAUUUUUAGUACAGUACUGUAAUAAACUCUAAACACUUAUUUAUGUGAAGGAUAUUUCCUAAAAUGCAAACUUUAGCAUCAUACUUUGUACUUUGAAAAAUAAAGUAUUAAUAUUA